rnacentral:rRNA from 1 species
AAUAGAUACCCUGGUAGUCCACGCCGUAAACGAUGAGUGCUAAGUGUUAGGGGGUUUCCGCCCCUUAGUGCUGCAGCUAACGCAUUAAGCACUCCGCCUGGGGAGUACGGUCGCAAGACUGAAACUCAAAGGAAUUGACGGGGGCCCGCACAAGCGGUGGAGCAUGUGGUUUAAUUCGAAGCAACGCGAAGAACCUUACCAGGUCUUGACAUCCCAUUGACCGCUAUGGAGACAUAGCUUUCCCUUCGGGGACAGUGGUGACAGGUGGUGCAUGGUUGUCGUCAGCUCGUGUCGUGAGAUGUUGGGUUAAGUCCCGCAACGAGCGCAACCCUUGUUCUUAGUUGCCAUCAUUUAGUUGGGCACUCUAAGGAGACUGCCGGUGACAAACCGGAGGAAGGUGGGGAUGACGUCAAAUCAUCAUGCCUCUUAUGACCUGGGCUACACACGUGCUACAAUGGACGGUACAAACGGGUUGCCAACCCGCGAGGGGAGCUAAUCCGAUAAAACCGUUCUCAGUUCGGAUUGUAGGCUGCAACUCGCCUA